rnacentral:rRNA from 1 species
UACGUAGGGUGCGAGCGUUAAUCGGAAUUACUGGGCGUAAAGCGUGCGCAGGCGGUUCGUUAAGUUCGUCGUGAAAGCCCCGGGCUCAACCUGGGAAUGGCGAUGGAAACUGGCGGGCUGGAGUGUGGCAGAGGGGGUGGAAUUCCACGUGUAGCAGUGAAAUGCGUAGAGAUGUGGAGGAACACCGAUGGCGAAGGCAGCCCCUGGGCCAACACUGACGCUCAGGCACGAAAGCGUGGGGAGCAAACAGG